AUGAACGCUGGCGGCGCGCCUAAUACAUGCAAGUCGAGCGAGAAGACGUAGCAAUACGUUUGUAAAGCGGCGAACGGGUGAGGAAUACAUGGGUAACCUACCCUCGAGUGGGGAAUAACUAGCCGAAAGGUUAGCUAAUACCGCGUACGCUUCUUGGACUUCGGUUCAGGGAGGAAAGCGAUACCGUGGGUAUCGCGCUCUUGGAUGGGCUCAUGUCCUAUCAGCUUGUUGGGAGGUAACGGCUCACCAAGGCUUCGACGGGUAGCUGGUCUGAGAGGACGAUCAGCCACACUGGCACUGCGACACGGGCCAGACUCCUACGGGAGGCAGCAGUAAGGAAUAUUGCGCAAUGGGCGAAAGCCUGACGCAGCGACGCCGCGUGGGGGAUGAAGGUCUUCGGAUUGUAAACCCC
rnacentral:rRNA from 1 species